rfam:Colinus virginianus strain Texas jcf7180006227063, whole genome shotgun sequence.
CUGUGCUUUCAGCUUCUUUACAGUGCUGCCUUGUUGCGUUCAUGUCAAGCAGCAUUGUACAGGGCUAUGAAAGAACAG